rnacentral:rRNA from 1 species
AUUGAACGCUGGCGGCAGGCCUAACACAUGCAAGUCGAACGAGUGGCGGAAGGGAGAGUAAUGUCUGGGACACUGCCCGAUGGAGGGGGAUAACUACUGGAAACGGUAGCUAAUACCGCAUACCAUCGGAUGUGCCCAGAUGGGUGUAGCUAGUAGGUAGGGUAAAGGCUUACCUAGUCCACGAUCCAUACCGGGUCUGAGAGGAUGACCAGCAACGCUGGAACUGAGCCACGGUCCAGACUCCUACGGGAGGCAGCAGUGGGGAAUAUUGCACAAGGGGCGAAAGCCUGAUGCAGCCAUGCCGCGUGUAUGAAGAAGGCCUUCGGAUUGUAAAGAACUUUCAGCGAGGAGGCGUUACUCGCAGAAGAAGCACCGGCUAACUCCGUGCCAGCAGCCGCGGUAAUAC